rnacentral:tRNA from 1 species
GGAGAUGUAGCUGAAUAGUAAAGCACUUGCCUGGCAUGCACAAGGACCUAGGUUCAACCCCUAAUACACCA